rnacentral:rRNA from 1 species
GAUGAACGCUGGCGGCGUGCCUAAUACAUGCAAGUCGAGCGAACAGACGAGGAGCUUGCUCCUCUGACGUUAGCGGCGGACGGGUGAGUAACACGUGGAUAACCUACCUAUAAGACUGGGAUAACUUCGGGACACCGGAGCUAAUACCGGAUAAUAUAUUGAACCGCAUGGUUCAAUAGUGAAAGACGGUUUUGCUGUCACUUAUAGAUGGAUCCGCGCCGCAUUAGCUAGUUGGUAAGGUAACGGCUUACCAAGGCAACGAUGCGUAGCCGACCUGAGAGGGGGAUCGGCGACCUGGGAACGGAGACACGGUCCAGACGCCUACGGGAGGCAGCAGUAGGGAAUCGGCCGCAACGGGCGAGAGUCUGACGGAGCAACGCCGCGUGAGUUAUGAAGGUCUUCGGAGCGUAAAAAUCUGUUAUUAGGGAAGAACAAAUGUGUAAGUAACUAUGCACGUCUUGACGGUACCGAAUCAGAAAGCCACGGCUAACUACGUG